rnacentral:rRNA from 1 species
CAGCCGCCGCGGGAAUACGAAGGUCCCAAGCGUUGUUCGGAAUCACUGGGCGUAAAGGGAGCGUAGGCGGCGUGGUAAGUCAGAUGUGAAAUCCCGGGGCUCAACCCCGGAACUGCAUCCGAUACUGCCAUGCUUGAGGGUUGGAGAGGUGACUGGAAUUCUCGGUGUAGCAGUGAAAUGCGUGGAUAUCGAGAGGAACACUCGUGGCGAAGGCGAGUCACUGGACAACAUCUGACGCUGAGGCUCGAAGGCUAGGGUAGCGAAAGGGAUUAGAUACCCCUGUAGUCCCUGUCUCUUAUAC